rnacentral:lncRNA from 1 species
CUCGGGGUACUGGGCCACUGGGGCUUGGAGUAUGGGGCUACUGGGGCUACUGGGAUAUUGGGCUACUGGGGCUUGGGGUUCCAGGAUACUGGGCUACUGGGUCUCAGGGUACUGGGAUACUGGGGCUCAGGGUACUGGGCCACCAGGGCUUGGAGUACUGGGCUACUGGGGCUACCAGAGCUCAGGGUCCUGGGGUACAGGGCUACCAGGGCUUGGGGUACUGGGAUACUGGGAUACAGGGCUACUGGGGCUCAGGGUUCUGGGCUACUGGGGCUUUGGUGUACUGGGGUUGGAGUACUGGGAUACUGGGGCUUGGGGUUCCAGGAUACGGGGCUACUGGGGCUCGGGGUACUGGGAUAUGGGGCUACCAGGGCUUGGGGUACGGGGAUACUGGGAUAUUGGGCUACUGGGGCUUGGGGUUCCAGGAUACUGGGCUACCAGGACUCAGGGUCCUGGGCCACCAGGGCUUGGAGUAUGAGGCUACUGGGGCUACCGGGGUACUGGGAUACGGGGCUACUGGGGCUACCGGGGUACUGGGAUAUUGGGCUACCAGGACUCAGGGUCCUGGGCCACCAGGGCUUGGGGUACUGGGAUAUGUGGCUAUCAGGGCUCAGGGUACUGGGAUACUGGGAUAUCAGGGCUUGGGGUACUGGGGUUGUAGUACUGGGAGACUGGGCUACUGGGGCUUGGGGUUCCAGGAUACUGGGCUACUGGGGCUCAGGGUCCUGGGCCACCAGGGCUCGGAGUACGAGGCUACUGGGGCUACCGGGGCUUGGGGUCCCAGGAUAUGGGGAUAUUGGGCUACUGGGGCUCAGGGUCCCAGGAUACUGGGCUACCAGGGCUUGGGGUCCUGGGCCACCAGGGCUUGGAGUACAAGGCUACUGGGAUAUGGAGCUACUGGGGCUCAGGGUACUGGGAUUCUAGGAUAUUGGGCUACUGGGGUACUGGGGUUGGAGUACUGGGCUACUGGGGCUCGGGGUUCCAGGAUACUGGGCUACCAGGACUUGGGGUCCUUG